rfam:Bacillus sp. OxB-1 DNA, complete genome.
AGGGCGGUAUCAAUCGGAACUGCACCUUUCAAGGACACCUAGAAAAUUGUAUAUUUCAACAAGAUCUGCCUUGAUCUACAAACAGACAGGGACGGAGGA